rnacentral:rRNA from 1 species
AUUGAACGCUGGCGGCAGGCCUAACACAUGCAAGUCGAACGAGUGGCGGACGGGUGAGUAAUGUCUGGGAAACUGCCUGAUGGAGGGGGAUAACUACUGGAACCGGUAGCUAAUACCGCAUACCAUCAGAUGUGCCCAGAUGGGAUUAGCUAGUAGGUGAGGUAACGGCUCACCUAGGCGACGAUCCCUACCUGAUCUGAGAGGAUGACCAGCAAGACUGGAACUGAGACACGGUCCAGACUCCUAAGAGAGGCAGCAGUGGGGAAUAUUGCACAAUGGGCGCAAGCCUGAUGCAGCCAUGCCGCAUGUAUGAAGAAGGCCUUCGGGUUGUAAAGUACUUUCAGCGUGGAGGCGUUACCCGCAGAAGAAGCACCGGGUAACUCCGUGCCAGCAGCCGCGGUAAUUC